rnacentral:rRNA from 1 species
CUCUCUGGGUGGCGAGUGGCGGACGGGUGAGGAAUACAUCGGAAUCUACUUUUUCGUGGGGGAUAACGUAGGGAAACUUACGCUAAUACCGCAUACGACCUACGGGUGAAAGCCGGGGACCUCCGGGCCUGGCGCGGAUAAAUGAGCCGAUGUCCGAUUAGCUAGUUGGCGGGGUAAGAGCCCACCAAGGCGACGAUCGGUAGCUGGUCUGAGAGGAUGAUCAGCCACACUGGGACUGAGACACGGUCCAGACUCCUACGGGAGGCAGCAGUGGGGAAUAUUGGACAAUGGGCGCAAGCUGGAUCCAGCCAUACCGCGUGGGUGAAGAAGGCCUUCGGGUUGUAAAGCCCUUUUGUUGGGAAAGAAAAGCAGCCAGUUAAUACCUGGUUGUUCUGACGGUACCCAAAGAAUAAGCACCGGCUAACUUCGUGCCAGCAGCCCGCGGUAAUACGAAGGGUGCAAGCGUUACUCGGAAUUACUGGGCGUAAAGCGUGCGUAGGUGGUUGUUUAAGUCUGUCGUGAAAGCCCUGGGCUCAACCUGGGAAUUGCGAUGGAAACUGGGCAACUAGAGUGUGGCAGAGGAUAGUGGAAUUCCUGGUGUAGCAGUGAAAUGCGUAGAGAUCAGGAGGAACAUCCGUGGCGAAGGCGACUGUCUGGGCCAACACUGACACUGAGGCACGAAAGCGUGGGGAGGCAAACAGGAUUAGAUACCCUGGUAGUCA